GUCUGAUAUUUAUUUAGGGCAAGCGACCAGCGCGAUAACACAGAGCACAAACCCUCAGCAUCCAACCACAGUCAGGACCAUUCUGACACGGACAAUGAAGUUGCAUAUUCUUCCCUGAACUUCAAGGCCCAGCAACCAGAGAAAUCGACUUCAGCAUUCCCAUCCCCAACAGCCACAGAAACAAU